GUGCUCACAUUGGCAGCACGUAAACUAAAAUUGGUAUGGCACAGAGGAGAUUAGCAUGGCCACUGCGCAAGGAAUGACUCGCAAAUCCGUGAAGCAUUCCCCACACUU